rnacentral:tRNA from 1 species
ACGGGUGUAGCUCAAUUGGUAGAGUAGCGGUCUCCAAAACCGUUGGUUGUGGGUUCGAUUCCUACCACCCGUG